AUUGUAUUUUCAAAAUGCAUUGCUAACACAACUGCACAUGUUUGUUUAUUGGAAAGAACAUCACAAAGGGUGACAAUCCCAUGUGUCAUGUGUAUGUUUUGUGUACAGCGUGCAUUAUAUGAAUCACAUUCAUUGACAAUUGAAUGCAAAUAGAAUGGUAAAUUUCAUUUAAUCAUAAAUAUGUUGUUGACAACUUAUAGCAAACAAAUACCAUGAGGGAAAUGUGAAAAGGAUUUUGAAAAGAAAAUUAAAAGAGCUUGCAAUUGCUGAACUGAUAAGCAAACAAAACAUACGUGUGUAUGCAAGAUUGUUGUAAUGCUUAGCAUCCUAUGCAAGGCUAUUGCAAUGAUUUUUUGUAUAGUGAUGCUACCUUUUUUUAGAAUUUGGAAUGUCUUUUUUUGAGUGUGAAUGGAAUUUUGUUUGUUAGCAAAGGAAUGCACUUUUAGAUUCAUUGUUUGAUUUGAUUUAAAAAUGUUUGUGACACGUGUCUUUGUUUUAGUUUCAUGCUUCAACCAAGGACAUUGUGUUUGAUCCAUAUCAGCAAUACAUGUUUUGUUUGACCCGUCUUGAAACACGGACCAAGGAGUUUAAUUUAUGUGCAAGAUCAUGAAACUGACAUUUGUAUAUCAAUGAAAAUAUUUUGUUGGGAUUUGUGCACCAACAACUGAUAAGUUGUGUGACGCGACGUUGAGUUUGAGCAUGUUGAUUAAAACCCGAAAGAUGGUGAACUAUGCCUGAACAGAAUGAAGU
rnacentral:rRNA from 1 species